GGCUCAAUGGUCUAGUGGUAUGAUUCGUGCUUCGGGUUAGUUCACCUUCCUAAGACAAGGAAAUAGAAUGUGCGAGGUCUCGGGUUCAAUCCCCGAUUGAGCCC